rnacentral:tRNA from 1 species
GCGCGCGUAGCUCAGUUGGAUAGAGCGUCGCCCUCCGGAGGCGAAGGCCGUGGGUUCGAAUCCCUCCGCGCGCA